rnacentral:rRNA from 1 species
CCCGCUGAACUUAAGCAUAUCAAUAAGCGGAGGAAAAGAAACUAACAAGGAUUCCCCUAGUAACUGCGAGUGAAGAGGGAAAAGCUCAAAUUUAAAAUCUGGCAGUUCUAUUGGCUGUCCGAGUUGUAAAUUGGAGAAGUGUUAUCCGCGCUGGCCUGUGCAAAAGUCCCUUGGAAAAGGGCAUCAUAGAGGGUGACAAUCCCGUCUUUGGCACAGAGCACCAGGGCUUUUGUGAUGCACUUUCAACGAGUCGAGUUGUUUGGGAAUGCAGCUCUAAAUGGGUGGUAAAUUCCAUCUAAAGCUAAAUAUUGGCGAGAGACCGAUAGUGCACAAGUACCGUGAGGGAAAGAUGAGAAGAACUUUGGAAAGAGAGUUAAACAGUACGUGAAAUUGUUGAAAGGGAAACGCUUGAAGUCAGUCAUGUCUCACUGAAAUCAACCCGACAGUUUGUUUGGUGUACUUUCUGUGAGACAGGUCAGCAUCAGUUCUGACCGCUGGAAAAAGGCCUUGGGAAUGUGGCAUCUUUCUGAGAUGUGUUAUAGCCCUGGGACCACAUACAGUGAUUGGGACUGAGGAACUCGGUGUAUGGAUCAACUUUGGGGCUUCGGUCCUGAAGUCAUGCAUUCCAGGAUGCUGGCGUAAUGACUUUAAUCGACCCGUCUUGAAACACGG